rnacentral:rRNA from 1 species
CUGCGAAGCCAGCUCCUUUGAAAUGCAUUAGCUGGGAACUAGUACAUCGUUUCAAGUGCUUUGAUGCUUGAAGACCUCCUGGUGAGAUAAUUGUCUACGCCGUUGGUUUAGUCAUUGCACAUAUUUGGACUUUGGAUUGUGCCUGCUUCUAACUGUCUCAUUGCGAGACUAGUCCGCUACAGGGCUACUAUUGACUAGUGUGACCUCAAAUCAGAUGGGACUACCCGCUGAACUUAAGCAUAUCAAUAAGCGGAGGAAAAGAAACUAACAAGGAUUCCCCUAGUAACUGCGAGUGAAGCGGGAAAAGCUCAAAUUUGAAAUCUGGCUGUCAUAUGGCAGUCCGAGUUGUAAUUUCGAGAAGUGUUGCCCGUGCCGGACCGUGCAUAAGUCCUCUGGAAAGGGGUAUCAUAGAGGGUGACAAUCCCGUCUUUGGUACGGAUUCCCGGUGCAUUGUGGUAUGCUCUCAACGAGUCGAGUUGUUUGGGAAUGCAGCUCAAAAUGGGUGGUAAAUUCCAUCUAAAGCUAAAUAUUGGCGUGAGACCGAUAGCGAACAAGUACCGUGAGGGAAAGAUGAAAAGAACUUUGGAAAGAGAGUUAAACAGUACGUGAAAUUGUCAAUAGGGAAACGCUUGAAGUCAGUCGCGUUGCUCGGGGAUCAGCCUUCCUUUUGGUUGGUGUACUUCCUGAAUAACGGGUCAGCAUCAGUUUUGACUGCUGGAGAAAGGCUUGGGGAAUGUGGCUCUUUCGGGAGUGUUAUAGCCCUUUGUCAUAUACAGUGGUUGGGACUGAGGAACUCAGUACGCCG